rnacentral:rRNA from 1 species
AUACGGAGGGGGCUAGUGUUGUUCGGAAUUACUGGGCGUAAAGCGCACGUAGGCGGAUUAAAAAGUUAGAGGUGAAAUCCCAGGGCUUAACCCUGGAACUGCCUUUAAAACUAGUAGUCUAGAGUUCGAGAGAGGUGAGUGGAAUUCCAAGUGUAGAGGUGAAAUUCGUAGAUAUUUGGAGGAACACCAGUGGCGAAGGCGGCUCACUGGCUCGAUACUGACGCUGAGGUGCGAAAGCGUGGGGAGCAAACAGAAUUAGAAACCCGGGUAGUCC